UCUGCCUCUGUGGUGGAUAGUGGAGUGUUUCCUAUGUGGUAUUGGUGUGUUGGAUAUCCCUUCACUGGUAGCCUGGUCACAUACACUCCCAGGUCUUUCUCUGCCUCUGUGGUGGAUAGUGGAGUGUUUCCCAUGUGGUAUUGGUGUGCUGGAUAUCCCUUCACUGGUAGCCUGGUCACAUACACUCCCAGGUCUUUCUCUGCCUCUGUGGUGGAUAGUGGAGUGUUUCCCAUGUGGUAUUGGUGUGCUGGAUAUCCCUUCACUGGAAGCCUGGUAACAUACACUCCCAGGUCUUUCUCUGCCUCUGUGGUGGAUAGUGGAGUGUUUCCCAUGUGGUAUUGGUGUGCUGGAUAUCCCUUCACUGGUAGCCUGGUAGCAUACACUCCCAGGUCUUUCUCUGCCUCUGUGGUGGAUAGUGGAGUGUUUCCCAUGUGGUAUUGGUGUGCUGGAUAUCCCUUCACUGGUAGCCUGGUAGCAUACACUCCCAGGUCUUUCUCUGCCUCUGUGGUGGAUAGUGGAGUGUUUCCCAUGUGGUAUUGGUGUGCUGGAUAUCCCUUCACUGGUAGCCUGGUAACACACAUUCCCAGGUCUUUCUCUGCCUCUGUGGUGGAUAGUGGAGUGUUUCCCAUGUGGUAUUGGUGUGCUGGAUAUCCCUUCACUGGUAGCCUGGUCACAUACACUCCCAGGUCUUUCUCUGCCUCUGUGGUGGAUAGUGGAGUGUUUCCCAUGUGGUAUUGGUGUGCUGGAUAUCCUUUCACUGGUAGUCUGAUAACAAACACUCCCAGGUCUUUCUCUGCCUUUGUGGUGGAUAGUGGAGUGUUUCCCAAGUGGUAUUGGUGUGCUGGAUAUCCCUU